GCCGGGGCAGGGCGGUGAAGGGAGCGCGGCGGCUGUUGGGUCCCCAGCGCCCGCCCGGUGCGCCCGGCGGGCUGCUCGCGGGGCGCCGCCAGCGCCCUUCUUCGUGAGGAAGGGAGGCGGCGUGGGUCUCCUCGACAGGCGCGUGCUUUGUGCCGCGCUGGCUGCACGCAGUUCGUAAGCGUUCGGGGACGUCCAGUGUGGUGCGGGGCUUAUCGACAAGGCAAACGCCGCGGUGAGGUGACGAAGACGUGUCAUACAUUGCCAGACAUCCAGUGUGAGCGGAGCCCUGGUCUCUGGAAGGGCUGACCCUGCCACAGAACUGGAAGUAGGAUGCCUAAAUUGGUCCUCUCUAAGGGACUCCUGCGGGCUUUCCCCCACAAGCACUUAGGCAGUGAAGUAAUUUCACUUACAUGGGUAUGAAAAUUAGUGCCUCAUUUUUAAAACUAAACAGUGAAGAAGUGAUGAAUGGCUGCCUUUCUAAGUAAGCCUGGAAAACACACAGACCGAGUAGACCCAAGUGGCGAUGUAGCAUCAUUUCAGGACAUGAUGUCAUUACUGUAUUCUACAUGCUGCCCAGAUCUGCAGUCACAUGCCUCUUCUGGAUGUUGUCCAAAAUGUAAACAAAGGUACAGGACUCCAUCAUGAACUCUCAACAGUUGACUCUGGGCAGCAAGGUGGGGAAAAGAGUGACAGUAUCUCCUCAGGAAGAAAGUGCUGUAUGUGUUGCACAGCUCUUCAGUGAACAAAGAUGCAAUAGGAUCAAGUAUCUAAUGGAUGAAACAAGAAACUCUCUGAAACAAAUUCCCUGUGGCAGUAAUCAUUAUCCCAUCUCUCAGUGUCUUCUGACUGAGACUGGAUGCCAUUCUGGAAGCUUCCCCUCAUUGCAAUACGGAGUCCCCUCCAGCUCUCUAACUCUACCCCCAAGAGAAAAUUUCCUUUUCUUCGUGCAAGGAAAAUGAAACAGCAAGAGGCAGUUUCAAAUAAGCCUCAAUGGCGCACAUGCACAGAAAAUGGAACAUCAGACUCAGAGAAUGGUAAAUUCUGUAUAAAAAAAAUGAAUUUCAUGGCCACUAGGGAAAAUGCCGUACUCACAAAGCUGCAGAACGGUGGAUCUGUGAUACCCUGUGGAGAAGAACAAGAGUUAGUAACCGCUGCCUGUGAAAGCUGGUAAGAUGGCACUAACAGUUUAUGCUCCUUUCAUGUUUUUAAUUCAGUUCCAAAACCACAGAAGUUAGAAAUGCAUUAAAUGGACUGUGCUGUGUUAUUUUGAAAUGAGAACACAUACUGAAGAUCACAGAAUUGUUGCAAGUGAACAUAAUGGGUCUUCAGAAUGACUGUGAUCACAGUGCUCUCCAGGAAUGCUUUUUCUUUGAAUGCACUAUGUGCUUUGUUUUAUUUUAUUCUUGCAAGAAAACUAGUAUGUCCUUUCCUUCCUGUCCCUUAAGCAGGACUCCAAGCUCAACUAAUCUUUUUAUGAUUGUGCCUAAAAUGGACACUUGUAGGUUAAAUUGUAAUGCAGACUUUAAAUUUUGAGGAAACAAAUUUCUAGAAAAUCUAAGGAUAGGGGAUUUACAUCUAUGAUUUAUUAGUGUUCAAGUGGAAGCUAAUUUUGAAAACACAAACUUACUAUUGCAGCUUUUACAUCUCAGGCACAGCGAUCAACUGAAAUUGCUCAGAAAUAACUAAAGAUGUUCAGCCAGGGGACAGGCAAAAAAAAUCUGAAGUUCUCUGAGAGUAAAAAAGUACAUUUAAGCUAUAACUUUAGUGGUACUGUUAGUAAUAUAUGUUCAACUGAAGCUUAUGUAAGCUAUAUGUACAUUUAUCGAAGUAUAUUUCUUCCUGUUUAAUAAGACAGAGUUCAAGUUAGUCCUGUUUAGAUAAAUUUUAAUCUCUAUAAUCAUAUUCAUUCCAUUAAAAUUGAUUAAGUAACAAUGAGUAGAGUAAAACAGGACUAGGAUUUUAUUAUAUUAAAAAUACACCCAGAAUAAAUUCUUAGCACUUAGGAGAAGCUUUUCAUUUGCAGAGAACAACAUACACGCAUUAAUAAUUUUAGUAAUCUAGUAACAUAAUAUUCAGUUUAUUAACUCAUUCUGGUCUGUGUAAUUCUAGGCUGUUCGCUCCAAAACACAUCAGUAUUUCGAAGCAUGCCAGUAUGGCUCCUUGGUGGCAGAUGUAAUUGCCCAUGAAGAGUUUCUCAAGUCCAGGCAGCCAGGUGUGCCUGCCUUGACCAUCAAUUCCUAAUGCUAAUGUGAGGUGACACCACAAGCCGGGUCAGUGCAUUGGAAGCUCAGUAUUCUGAAGCACCUUAAAUUGUCAGUAGAUAUUUAGACUAUGCAGUUUUCCACAGAUGGUGAGCAGCACUGAUGUCAUCAGCAGCACUGAUAUCAUCAGCAGCACUGGUACUCUUUCUGUUCCUUUCCCCAUUCGAUAUAUACACAUUUUUUCUUCUAGAAAAGUAAAGUAAAUGGAGACUACAGUUAUGAGAUUUCUGCAUAAUGCAGAGGAAGCAGAUAGAUAGAAACUUUUCAGGCAGAAAAAAAAUGUAAAUCUAGUUCUGUUCCUUUGUGGAACAUAUAGCUGAAAUAACCAGAACUGCAUUAAAACCACAGAUCCCAUGCAGGGCAGCUGAAGAAUCAGAACUACAUGACCAAGUGCAUUUCUUUGGGUGGGACUGCAAGCAAAGGAUACUGCUGCUUGUUGAGUUCUGUGUUUGAGGGGAAGCAUAAAAAGGCAUCAAAGAAAUAUCCAGAGAUCAGCAGGGAAGCACUUAGAGCUGAUUAGGAAUAAAACUAAGAUUGGAUACAGAGUUUGUGAGCAGAAGACAAGCUGGAAAUAGUAUCUACAAGUACUAAAAGAAACAUACUACCCUUUCUAUUUGAUUCCUGCUACACUAAGCAAAGCACAACUUUUGAUAUGUAUUUUAUAAAUAAAUAGGAUUUCAUAAAGUACAUUACUCCUUCACUAAAUUUUCUAUUAGAAAUAGCUCUAAAGACCCUAAACCUUAGAUAGCUGCUUAUGUUAAAAGGAGGAAAAAAAACCACAACAAUAUAGGGGUUGAAAGGUGUGGAGAUAUAUGAAAGGUGUAUUUCCUAGAUACAGCAAAGAUAAGUAUCAGAAUUUUAGUGUAUUAAAAAUACAAUUUUUAGUUAUAAGGCCAAUUUAUUUUAAUUUCCUUCUUUUGCUUGUGUUUUAGGUAUUAUCUUUUCUAAAUUGUUGAAUCACUGAUUAGCACUUUUGUGGAGGUGACUCGUGUUUAUUCUUUGCAAGUCUUUACAAUUUGGUAUCGAUAUCUAAAUGGAAUGUGUAUGUUUUCUGUUGGGCUAUAUUGUUUUAAGUACUAGUAUUUUCUUCUUUACCAAAAGGCUUAAUAUUGUUGAGGAAGGGUAAACACAGGACUUAUUUUGUAUGUAAGUUGUUAGAAAAAAACAGAUGCUAAAACUGGA